rnacentral:rRNA from 1 species
UGAGCCCUACGGGGGGCAGCAGUGGGGAAUAUUGGGCAAUGGGCGCAAGCCUGACCCAGCAACGCCGCGUGAAGGAAGAAGGCUUUCGGGUUGUAAACUUCUUUUCUCAGGGACGAAGCAAGUGACGGUACCUGAGGAAUAAGCCACGGCUAACUACGUGCCAGCAGCCGCGGUAAUACGUAGGUGGCAAGCGUUAUCCGGAUUUACUGGGUGUAAAGGGCGUGUAGGCGGGGACGCAAGUCAGAUGUGAAAACCAC